UAAAAGGGAAGAAACUCAGACGGCACCAAAAUCAAAAUCAACAAACAAAUCAAAAGGAUGUUGCCUUGCUGGAUAUAAAUCUGGAUUCAAUAGACAUUUGGUUGAGGCACAAUAGUUAAUACAAAGUGUAGUAGGUUCGAUUCCCCCUCUCUAUAAUAUAAUUAGUUUAAGAGUUUUGGUUGCAUCCGCCACAAGCAUGAGCUCGCCGGAAAAUGUGAUUGGAGGAUAAAAAACAGAUUUUGCAAUUUCGAUAUCUUGAGUUUCAGUAAUCCAAUUUCGCAACUGCUAUUGAACACGACUUUAAUUCCGACAUUGGCACUUGAGUUUGUCUCAUCUAUUUCUCUUUGGCGUAGGUUAUUGGUACUAACAAAGGUGGAUUGGUGGCUGUAGUGGAGGGUCUGAUUUGUUUGCUCAUGUAUUUUAGCUUGACUUGUUCAAUAGUUUCUGAUAAACAUGAAAAAAGAUCCAAACUUUAUCUAAUUCAAUUAUCAGGGUGUCAAAGCAGAAACUCGUUCCAAACCAAAACUGAACUCUAAGAUACGUCAGGGUUGAAUUCUAUUGUUUUGAUUAAAUUCAUUGAAUUUUUUAUGUUCUUCUGAUUCAUAAGGAUGCAAUGGAUCACAACCCUUUUGGUGCUGGAAAGACUGAUGGAACUGAUGACUGAUUUGCUUUCCUUCCUGCUGCGUGUGUGGGUAUUCUUCUUAUGCUUUUAUUCUUUCUUGUAGACUGUUUCAUAUUUAUUGUUAUUAUUUUGGUCGUGACUUAGUCAUUUUAUUAGCUACUAUUUUCCAACUAAAUCCUUUAACACUAAACGUCACUAAAAGUCUAAAACCCUAAGACUUCACCUAAUAUAUAAAUAAAGUACUCCUCAUAAACUUAGCAUCUAUCACGUUUACUUUUGAACCAUCUUUUGCUUAGGUUUUUAAUUUUCCACAAAGAGCAAUUUCAAGGUCUGUUCUAUGUAUCUGUAAUCCUAUAUGUCUCUAAUCAUCGAUUUUGGCUUAAACUUAUUUGAAAUUCUUUAGAUUUGGUAGAAUUGCCACUUUAUUGAGUUUGCUAGUUUUGGAGAUCAAUCAAACGUACAUAACAAUUGAGUUUUGGAGGUCAAUUGUGUUCUGGUCGUCUUUUAGAUCAAGUAAACGUAUAUGUCAACUGAGUUUUGGAGAUCAAUUGAGUUUUGCUAUUUAAAGUUCUCUGAUUUGUCUUUAGGUUGAUUUCUUAUGCUUUUUUAUUCAUUUUUAAAAAAUUUGCUCUUUGUCAAUUAUUGAUGAGGCCUCCAAUCGUUGUAGGUGGGCGUUUGUAUGAGAGAGGAUCAGCUUCUCAAUCUGGUGCCUUAGCCACAACAACUCCAUCUUCUUCUACUCCAGCACAAACUUCCGCUUCUCAGCUUAUUUUCUACAUAUUAGGAUUUUCGUUUGUUCUUUUAUGCUUUUUAAUUUGGUUUUAGUGUGUUUGGUCAUGUUUUUUGCUUAGAAC
rnacentral:lncRNA from 1 species